rnacentral:rRNA from 1 species
GACGAACGCUGGCGGCGUGCUUAACACAUGCAAGUCGAGCGGCGCGGCGAACGGGUGCGUAACGCGUGAGUAACUGCCCCCCUCUCUGGGAUCACAGUUGGAAACGGCUCCUAAUACCGGAUAGUGGGGGAUGACUCGGGGCCUAUCAGCUUGUUGGUGGGGGAGUGGUCUCCCAAGGCGACGACGGGUAGCCGGCCUGAGAGGGGGACCGGCCAAAUUGGGCUGAGAUACGGCGCAAACGCCUACGGGAGGCAGCAGUGGGGAAGAUUGCACAAUGGGGGAAAGCCGGAUGCAGCAACGCGCGGGCGGGAUGACGGGCUUCGGGUUGUAAACCGCUUUCAGCCAUGACGCGGUAGUGGCAGAAGAAGCACCGGCUAACUACGUGCCAGCAGCCGCGGUAAUAC